NNNNNNNNNNNNNNNNNNNNNNNNAUGGAAAUAGUUGUCCCUGCUCUGCCAUUUUUGCAGGGUGUUUUUUGGAAGGCCCAAGGAAUUAACAGAUAUGGAGGUGUUUGGGUUUGAGAUAGUGAAAUUUUAUGCCAAUGUAAAAAGAGUACAUUGAAGAUUGGUGUCUUCCUACUGGGGUGUGAAGUUUGAGGUAGAACUAGGAUUCCUUAGUCCUGCUCAAAAGCAUUUUUACUGGACUCUGGUGGUUCUCCUUGGAUAGGUCUUAGGAGUGGGUAGAGCAGCCUCAUAAGGAUACAGAAAGUCACAGCACGAGGCUGGGCUUGCCUCCUUACUCUGCCUGCUCAACUUCUCCCACUGUAACUCCUUUUCAAUGAACAAUCUCUUGAUUGCUUUCCUUUCUUACAAUCUCCUUUCUUUCAAUCUCUUAUCACUUUCUUUUCUUCAAUUUCCUUGGAAUGUAGGUUAGAUUCCAUGAUCCUUCAUUGGCAGUAUCCUGAAUUUCUUACCCUCUGACCGUCCAUCACAUUCCUCUGGCUAACCCUGAAUUCUGCUCUUUCCACUCUCCACCCAAACUCCCACCUGUGCAACAGGGUAGGUGGCUGCCAUCUUGAAUCAUGACCACGACCCUCACAUGGGCCACAGCAAUGCCUGACUGGCAGAGAUCUCACACUCUACUAUGGUCAUUUGAAGAUCUUGCCUUUUCCAAACAUCCAACACCUCAACCCUCACACUCACUCCUAGCAGACAACUCAAUUCCUAUUUCUCAGAGAAAAAUGAAGCCAUCAGAUGGGAACCUCUCAGCUUCUCAGAGUGAAAACUAUG
rnacentral:lncRNA from 1 species